AAACAACAACAACAACAACAACAACUCCUCAAAAAAUUCAUCAUAGUGUUCCUGCAUCUCAACAUCGCUCAUGGCACAGCGCAAACCAUCAGCAGACAGGGAAGAGUUUUGAGGGUUACCGUAAAUGUUCAAGAGGGCAAUGGUCUGUCUAAACGUCCGUUUAUUGUGCAACCGAGAGCACCUGUCUCCAUGACAACAUGCUCCAAUUCUGAAAUAAAAUGAACAGCUGACUUUGUCUUUCCCAGUGCCGAAGAUGGAAGCCAGAUACUCCGCCAUUUCCCACCCACCACCCGCCAUCACCACCGCCGACACUGCUGCCAACGCAGCCCUAGAAUUUAAAACAUAGAUAUCAAAGCAUUUUCUCUGACAGAGCAAGAUAAAUUAGAAAUCAGUAACAGUAGUAAAAUGGCAAAAAUUCAUAAAAUUAUGAAAAUCAAACAAUGAAUUGAAGAAAUCACAAGAGACAUUAGAAAAUACUUACAGAUACAUGAUAAUGACCUGUAACUUUAUGCACCACACCAAAACUUAUGGAAUGCAGUGAAAGCAGUGCUAAGGAGGAAAUUUAUAGCUAUAAAUGCUUACAUUAAAAAAAAAGAUCUCAAACAACAACCUGCAAUUUAAGGAACUAGAAAAACAAAAACAAACUAAACUCAAAGCCAACAGAAGGAAGGACAUAAUAAAGAUGAGAAGAGAAAUAACAUAAGAACAGGAAAACAACAGAGAAAAUCAAUGAAACUAGAAAUCGAUUCUUUAAAAAGAUCAAUAAAUUGACAAACCUUUAGCUAGAGGGACUAAGCAAAAGAGGGAGAAGAGUCAAAUUACUAAGAUCAGAAAUGAAAGCAAGGGCAUUAUUAGUGACUCUACAGAAAUAAAAAGGAUUAUAAGAGAGUGCUAUGAACGAUUACAUGCCAACAAAUUGGAUAACCUGGAUGAAACUGAUAAAUUUUUACAAACACAAAACCUAUCACAGCUAAAUCACAAAGAAAUAGAAAAUCUGAAUAAACCUAUAACUAGCAAGGAGAUUGAAUGAGUAAUAAAAAGUCUCCUGAGAAAUGAAAGCUCUGGAACUGAUGCACUGCUGAAUUCUACCCAACAUUUAAAGAACUAACACCAAUCCUUCUCAAACCUAAAAAAAAAAGGAGAUAACACUUUCUAACUCAUUCUAUGGGGCCCUGAUACCAAAGCCACACAAAGACACUACAAGAAAAGAAAACUACAAGCCAAUAUCCUUUAUGAGCACUGAUGCAAAAAUACUCAACAAAACACUAGCAAACCACAUUUAGCAGCAUAUUAAAAGGAUUAUACACCAUGACCAAGUAGGAUCUAUUCCUGGAAUGCAAGGAUGAUUCAACAUACAAGAAUUUAUCAAUGUUUCCAUAGUAAUCUACAGAGUCAGUGCAAUCCCUAUCAAAAUCCCAAUGAUGCUUUUAGCAGAAAUAGAAAAACCCAUCCUAAAAUUCAUAUGGAACUUCAAGGGACCCUGAAUCAUCUUAAAAAAAGAAGAACAAAGCUGGAAGACUCAUACUUCCUGACUGGAAAACUUAUUACAAGCUGUAGUAAUCAAAUAGUAUGAUACUGGCAUAAAGACAGACAUAUAAACCAAUUGAAUAGAAUACACAGCCUAGAAGUAAAUGCUUGCAUAUAUGAACAAAUGAUUUUUUAUAUGGGUGCCAAGAUUAUUCAAUGGGGAAAAAAACAGUCUUUUAACAAUCGGUGCUGGGAAAUAUGGAUAUCCACAUGCAAAAGGAUAAAUUUGGACCCUUAUCUAACCAUAUACAAAAAUCAACUCAAAAUGGAACAAAGACCUAAAUGUAAGACCUAAAAGUAUAAAAUUCUAAAAGAAAAUAUAGGGCUAAUCUUUACAACUGUGAAUUUGACAGUGAUUUCUUGGAAAUGACACCAAAGGCACAGGCAACAAAAAAUAAAUAAAUUGGGGCUCAUAAAAAUUUUAAAAAUCUGUGCAAUGAAAGACACUAUCUAGAGAGUAAAAAGGCAACCCACAGAAUUGGAGAAAAUAUUUGCAAAUUACACAUAUGAUAAGAGAUUAAUAUCCACACUAUAUAGAGAACUCAUAAAUCUCAACAGUGAAAAAACAAAACAACAUGAUUUAAAAAUGGAGCCAGGCAUGGUGGCUCAUGCCUGUAAUCCCAACACUUUGGGCGGCUGAGGUGGGUGGAUCACCUGAGGUCAGGAAUUGGAGACCAGCCUGACCAAUAUGGUGAAACCCCGUCUCUAAUAAAAAUACAAAAAAAUUAGCUGGGCGUGGUGGCAUGCGCCUGUAGUUCCAACAACUCAGGAGGCCUGGACAGGAGAAUUGCUUGAACCUGGGAGGCGGAGGUUGUGGUGAGCCGAGAUCGCGCCACUACACUCCAGCCUGGGCAACAGAGCGGAACUCUGUCUCAAAAAAAAAAAAAAAAAAAAAUGGCAAAGAGCUGGGCGCAAUGGUUCACGCCUGUAAGCCCAGCACUUUGAGAGGUGGAGGUAAUCAGAUUGCUUGGGACCAGGAGUUUUGAGACCAGGUUGGACAAUAUAGCAAAACCCCACCUCUACCAAAAAUACAAAAAAAUUAGCUGGGCGUGGUGGGGCAUGCCUGUGGUCCCAGCUCCUUGAGAGGUUGUGGUGGAAGGAUUGCUUGAGCCCGGGA
rnacentral:lncRNA from 1 species